GACGAACGCUGGCGGCGUGCUUAACACAUGCAAGUCGAGCGGUAAGGCCCUUUCGGGGGUACACGAGCGGCGAACGGGUGAGUAACACGUGGGUGACCUGCCCUUAGCUCUGGGAUAAGCCUGGGAAACUGGGUCUAAUACCGGAUAUGACUCCAUGACGCAUGUUGUGGGGUGGAAAGCCUUGUGCGGCUAGGGAUGGGCCCGCGGCCUAUCAGCUUGUUGGUGGGGUGAUGGCCUACCAAGGCGACGACGGGUAGCCGGCCUGAGAGGGCGACCGGCCACACUGGGACUGAGACACGGCCCAGACUCCUACGGGAGGCAGCAGUGGGGAAUAUUGCGCAAUGGGCGGAAGCCUGACGCAGCGACGCCGCGUGGGGAUGACGGCCUCGGUU
rnacentral:rRNA from 1 species